UACGUAGGGGGCUAGCGUUGUCCGGAUUUAUUGGGCGUAAAGAGCGUGUAGGCGGCCAGGGAGGUCCGUUGUGAAAACUCGAGGCUCAACCUCGAGACGCCGAUGGAAACCCCCUGGCUAGAGUCCGGAAGAGGAGAGUGGAAUUCCUGGUGUAGCGGUGAAAUGCGCAGAUAUCAGGAGGAACACCGGUGGUGUAGACGGCUUACUGGACCACGACUGACACUGAGGCACGAAAGCGUGGGUAGCAAACAGG
rnacentral:rRNA from 1 species